rnacentral:rRNA from 1 species
GACGAACGCUGGCGGCGUGCUUAACACAUGCAAGUCGAACGGAAAGGCCCUGCUUUUGUGGGGUGCUCGAGUGGCGAACGGGUGAGUAACACGUGAGUAACCUGCCCUUGACUUUGGGAAAACUUCAGGAAACUGGGGCUAAUACCGGAUAGGAGCUCCUGCUGCAUGGUGGGGGUUGGAAAGUUUCGGCGGUUGGGGAUGGACUCGCGGCUUAUCAGCUUGUUGGUGGGGUAGUGGCUUACCAAGGCUUUGACGGGUAGCCGGCCUGAGAGGGUGACCGGCCACAUUGGGACUGAGAUACGGCCCAGACUCCUACGGGAGGCAGCAGUGGGGAAUAUUGCACAAUGGGCGGAAGCCUGAUGCAGCAACGCCGCGUGCGGGAUGACGGCCUUCGGGUUGUAAACCGCUUUCGCCUGUGACGAAGCGUGAGUGACGGUAAUGGGUAAAGAAGCACCGGCUAACUACGUGCCAGCAGCCGCGGUGAUACGUAGGGUGCGAGCGUUGUCCGGAUUUAUUGGGCGUAAAGGGCUCGUAGGUGGUUGAUCGCGUCGGAAGUGUAAUCUUGGGGCUUAACCCUGAGCGUGCUUUCGAUACGGGUUGACUUGAGGAAGGUAGGGGAGAAUGGAAUUCCUGGUGGAGCGGUGGAAUGCGCAGAUAUCAGGAGGAACACCAGUGGCGAAGGCGGUUCUCUGGGCCUUUCCUGACGCUGAGGAGCGAAAGCGUGGGGAGCGAACAGGCUUAGAUACCCUGGUAGUCCACGCUGUAAACGGUGGGUACUAGGUGUGGGGUCCAUUCCACGGGUUCCGUGCCGUAGCUAACGCUUUAAGUACCCCGCCUGGGGAGUACGGCCGCAAGGCUAAAACUCAAAGGAAUUGACGGGGCCCCGCACAAGCGGCGGAGCAUGCGGAUUAAUUCGAUGCAACGCGUAGAACCUUACCUGGGUUUGACAUGGAUCGGGAGUGCUCAGAGAUGGGUGUGCCUCUUUUGGGGUCGGUUCACAGGUGGUGCAUGCCUGUCGUCAGCUCGUGUCGUGAGAUGUUGGGUUAAGUCCCGCAACGAGCGCAACCCUUGUUCACUGUUGCCAGCACGUUAUGGUGGGGACUCAGUGGAGACCGCCGGGGUCAACUCGGAGGAAGGUGGGGAUGACGUCAAGUCAUCAUGCCCCUUAUGUCCAGGGCUUCACGCAUGCUACAAUGGCUGGUACAGAGAGUGGCGAGCCUGUGAGGGUGAGCGAAUCUCGGAAAGCCGGUCUCAGUUCGGAUUGGGGUCUGCAACUCGACCUCAUGAAGUCGGAGUCGCUAGUAAUCGCAGAUCAGCAACGCUGCGGUGAAUACGUUCCCGGGGCU